rnacentral:rRNA from 1 species
GCACAACGCGAAGAACCUUACCUACUCUUGACAUCUACGGAAGACUGCAGAGAUGCGGUUGUGCCUUCGGGAGCCGUAAGACAGGUGCUGCAUGGCUGUCGUCAGCUCGUGUUGUGAAAUGUUGGGUUAAGUCCCGCAACGAGCGCAACCCUUGCCAUUAGUUGCUACGAAAGGGCACUCUAAUGGGACUGCCGGUGACAAACCGGAGGAAGGUGGGGAUGACGUCAAGUCCUCAUGGCCCUUACGAGUAGGGCUACACACGUGCUACAAUGGUACGUACAGAGGGAGGCAAGCUGGCGACAGUGAGCGGAUCUCUUAAAGCGUAUCGUAGUCCGGAUCGCAGUCUGCAACUCGACUGCGUGAAGUCGGAAUCGCUAGUAAUCGCGAAUCAGAAUGUCGCGGUGAAUACGUUCCCGGGUCUUGUACACACCG